GAUGAACGCUGGCGGUAUGCUUAACACAUGCAAGUCGAACGGACUCUUCGGAGUUAGUGGCGGACGGGUGAGUAACGCGUGAGAAUCUGGCUUUGGGUUCGGGACAACCACUGGAAACGGUGGCUAAUACCGGAUGUGCCGAGAGGUAAAAGAGAAAUUGCCUGAAGAUGAGCUCGCGUCUGAUUAGCUAGUUGGUGAGGUAAAGGCUCACCAAGGCAGCGAUCAGUAGCUGGUCUGAGAGGAUGACCAGCCACACUGGGACUGAGACACGGCCCAGACUCCUACGGGAGGAGGCAGUGGGGAAUUUUCCGCAAUGGGCGAAAGCCUGACGGAGCAAUACCGCGUGAGGGAAGAAGGCUCUUGGGUUGUAAACCUCUUUUCUUAGGGAAGAACAAAAUGACGGUACCUAAGGAAUCAGCAUCGGCUAACUCCGUG
rnacentral:rRNA from 1 species